CAGAUCCUACGGGGGGCAGCAGUAGGGAAUCUUCCACAAUGGACGAAAGUCUGAUGGAGCAACGCCGCGUGAGUGAAGAAGGGGUUCGGCUCGUAAAUCUCUGUUGGUAGUGAAGAAAGAUAGAGGUAGUAACUGGCCUUUAUUUGACGGUAAUUACUUAGAAAGUCACGGCUAACUACGUGCCAGCAGCCGCGGUAAUACGUAGGUGGCAAGCGUUGUCCGGAUUUAUUGGGCGUAAAGCGAGUGCCGGCGGUUUAAUAAGGCU
rnacentral:rRNA from 1 species